AGCAGCGUAGCUGAACAUCUUACGGAUGGCCCAGGGCUCCAAAGGCUCGUUUCCUAAGUGAGAGAGAGCCUGGCUGAAGCUGUAUUACCAUUCAUUCUCCAGCCUCCGAAGUCUCAAAGCAUCACUUCCACCAUACUCUAACUGUCAAGACAAACACAAAGGCCCAGAAACUGCCAGACUGUCUUCUGAAGUGGCUAUAAUAUUUACACUCCCAUCAGCAGUGUAGAAGGGGUCUCACUAUGUUGUCUGGAGUGCUGUGGUGGAGUGGAGUGGCUAUUCACAGGAUUCUUGGAAUGGACUGUAAAAGUCUGGAAUCAAGACUUUGUGUUUCCUCUCUAACAUGUAAAGAGCUUAGAAGUUGUCGCUAUUGCCCUUACAACAAAAUGAAGCUGGACAAACUGAAAAUCAAUGACUUUUCUUGGACUCACUAUACAGCUGAGUUUGCAGAGUAAACCACUACCCUGAAAUCUGGAAAGGCAGGUGCACCCACAGAUCCUCAGCUGAGAUCCAAUUACCUGAAAUAGAAGCUGCCAUUAGGAACACUUAAAAGAGCCUGUUCUGCUGGGACACAGAAUCACUUGCUCCAUCUCAUACAUUGAUGAUGAUUAAUUUGUAUGUGUACCUUCCAAAAAAGAUGGUUGUGUUUGAAUGGAGGCCUUCUGGACAGGAAAAUAUGGAGAGUGCGUGCUUUGGAUUCAAGACUGGGAAUGAGGGGACCAGAAACCUAUUCUGUGGCUGUUUCUUGUUAGGACUUUCCUAAGCCUCUGGAAAAGUGCAAAGUACAAUUAACAUUUGAGUCUGUCUGAGUCAUGAAGAAAUGGAGAUUACUGAAAAUAAUUCAUUUUGGUAUCUUCUUACAUCCUGAGAGACUAAUCUUUCCAAGUUCAUCUGAGGCUCCUCUUCUCCAUGACAACCUCAUCCAGGGAUUUCUUCCUGUCCUGGUGUUUUAUGACAUGUGGAAGGGGACUGUAGCAGGUGAUCUCCAAAGUCUCUGGAGACUUACUAAUGUGCAUCCUCAUCUCGCUUGUAAGGAUAAUAGCCUUCCUCCAAACCUCACACACUUUUGGAGGAGAUCACUUUUUUUAAAGUGCAUGGAAAUGUUUUGAAACAGUGAAAUCUAUAAUGAUAGGUUUCAUAAUUCUAACAUCCACACCAUAUGAAUCACAUCCUUCCUGAGAUAAUGAGCACACAAUUGCCUGGAUACCUGAAGGAAUGGAGACAGCGGCAGAAAACACUGCAGAGAGAUACAGUGAACCCACAUGUUGAAGCUUUCUAGUAUAAUAAAAAUUUCAACUGUUCUGUUGAAUCAUCUGCCUGAUUGGAGGCUACAGAAAAGAUGUCAUCUUAGGAGUGCUUGCUCUGAGUGAGGCUCAUCUUCAAAUCUGAAUGACCACAAGGAGAUUUGAUUAUACAUGUGAACACCUCAGAAGGCACAGCCCACCCAGAAGGCAGACAGGUCAGGCUGCUUUUUCUUCAUUGCUUGGAUUCAAUCCUCCGGGCGGCUCAGGCUCAAACAUAACUUAAGCAUGAUUAAACUUUAGAAGAAGCUGCCAGGAAGACUGUGAAAUCUUCAUGCCCAAGGAUCCCUAAAAUUAGGAGCAACAACCACUUGGCUCAGACGGUUUAUGGAGGCAAAGGUUUGGAUGGGAUUAGAGAUUUCUAAAUGUGAGUUCGUGUCCUCUGCCAGACCACCUUACUUCCACCAUUCCUCAGCAAAUCAAGAAAAACAGGAGAAAAGACAUGCCUUUCCAUAAGUUAAAUCUAUUCUGUUUUAAUUCUAUAUUAUAUCUGCUGUACAACUUCUUUUGUUUGUAACACCAUAUUGUUGCUAGUAACUGGAAAUUAAUUUUCACAUGCCUCAGCUUAGAAAAAUAAAAAGCAGCCCUGCAUCAA
ensembl:lncRNA LINC00635 long intergenic non-protein coding RNA 635